rnacentral:rRNA from 1 species
GACGAACCGUGCGAACGUUAUUCGGAAUCACUGGGCUUAAAGCGCGUGUAGGCGGGUCGGCGCGUCGGCCGCUGAAAUCCCCCGGCUCAACCGGGGAAGGGGCGCCGAGACGGCCGGCCUGGAGGGACGUAGGGGGGGGCUGGAACUUCCGGUGGAGCGGUGAAAUGCGUUGAGAUCGGAAGGAACGCCCGUGGCGAAAGCGAGCCCCUGGACGUCUACUGACGCUGAGACGCGAAAGCCAGGGGAGCGAACGGG